GACGAACGCUGGCGGCGUGCUUAACACAUGCAAGUCGAACGGAAAGGCCCUGCUUUUGUGGGGUGCUCGAGUGGCGAACGGGUGAGUAACACGUGAGUAACCUGCCCUUGACUUUGGGAUAACUUCAGGAAACUGCGGCUAAUACCGGAUAGGAGCUCCUGCUGCACGGUGGGGGUUGGAAAGUUUCGGCGGUUGGGGAUGGACGCGCGGCUUAUCAGCUUGUUGGUGGGGUAGUGGCUUACCAAGGCUUUGAGGGAUAGCCGGCCUGAGAGGGUGACCGGCCACAAUGGUACUGGGAUACGGCGCAGAAUCCAACGGGCGGCAGCAGUCGGGAAUAUUGCGGAAUGGGCCGGAGUCUGAGGCAGCAACGCCGCGUGCGGGAUGACGUGCUACGGGUUGUGAACAGCUUUCGCCUGUGACGAAGCGUGAGUGACGGUAAUGGAUAAAGAAGCACCGGCUAACUACGUG
rnacentral:rRNA from 1 species